UAACAAGGUCUCCGUUGGUGAACCAGCGGAGGGAUCAUUACCGAGUUUUCAACUCCCAAACCCUUAUGUGAACCUACCUAUCGUUGCUUCGGCGGACUCGCCCCAGCCGGACGCGGACUGGACCAGCGGCCGCCGGGGACCAUCAAACUCUUGUAUUAUCAGCAUCUUCUGAAUACGCCGCAAGGCAAAACAAAUAAAUUAAAACUUUCAACAACGGAUCUCUUGGCUCUGGCAUCGAUGAAGAACGCAGCGAAAUGCGAUAAGUAAUGUGAAUUGCAGAAUCCAGUGAAUCAUCGAAUCUUUGAACGCACAUUGCGCCCGCCAGCAUUCUGGCGGGCAUGCCUGUUCGAGCGUCAUUUCAACCCUCGACCUCCCUUUGGGGAAGUCGGCGUUGGGGACCGGCAGCACACCGCCGGCCCUGAAAUGGAGUGGCGGCCCGUCCGCGGCGACCUCUGCGUAGUAAACCAACUCGCACCGGAACCCCGACGUGGCCACGCCGUAAAACACCCAACUUCUGAACGUUGACCUCGAAUCAGGUAGGACUACCCGCUGAACUUAAGCAUAUCAA
rnacentral:rRNA from 1 species